GGUAGUAAUGCCUAGGAAUCUGCCUGGUAGUGGGGGACAACGUUUCGAAAGGAACGCUAAUACCGCAUACGUCCUACGGGAGAAAGCAGGGGACCUUCGGGCCUUGCGCUAUCAGAUGAGCCUAGGUCGGAUUAGCUAGUUGGUGAGGUAAUGGCUCACCAAGGCGACGAUCCGUAACUGGUCUGAGAGGAUGAUCAGUCACACUGGAACUGAGACACGGUCCAGACUCCUACGGGAGGCAGCAGNG
rnacentral:rRNA from 1 species